UGCGCGGGAGGGGUCUCGUGGGCGCUCCCGUGGUUGUGGCACGGGUGACUGCGAGCGUGUGUGUGUGGCACGAUAUCGUGGUAACCCAGAGGCGCGCGAGGCGGGGCGCCCAACGGGGUGGCGGGGCGAGCACGCGCGCCACUGGGGCGCCGGACGUUGAAAGGGGGGGUCACAUCCGGCAGGGGGCGGGCCUGGCGGACCCCGGAAGUGUGGGCGCGGCUGCGGUUUAACCCGCGGUGGCGGCGGCGGCGGCGGCCCUGGCAGGGAAGGAUGGAGACGCUGAAGGAGAAGACCCUGCAGGAGCUGGAGGAGUUGCAGAAUGACUCGGAGGCGAUUGACCAGCUGGCCCUGGAGUCCCCUGAGGUCCAGGACCUGCAGCUGGAACGGGAGAUGGCACUGGCCACCAACCGGAGCCUGGCGGAGCAGAACUUGGAGUUCCAGGGACCCCUGGAGAUCAGCCGCUCAAACCUCUCAGAUAAAUACCAGGAGCUCCGGAAGCUUGUGGAGCGGUGCCAGGAGCAGAAGGCAAAGCUGGAGAAAUUUUCUUCAGCACUGCAGCCAGGGACCUUGUUAGACCUUCUGCAGGUGGAAGGCAUGAAGAUUGAAGAAGAGUCCGAGGCCAUGGCUGAGAAGUUCCUGGAGGGCGAGGUGCCCCUGGAAACGUCCUGGAGAAUUUUUCCUCCAUGAGGAUGCUGUCCCACCUGCGCCGGUUCGCGUGGAAAACUCCAGGAAGUGGUGAGGAAGCCCAGGGCUUCCCAGGAGCUGGCUGGCGAUGCCCCCCCACCCCGCCCGCCACCCCCGGCGCGCCCAGUCCCCCAGGCAACGCCCCCUGUGGUUGAAGAGCAGCCGCAGCCACCAUCAGCCAUGCCUCCCUACCCUUUGCCCUACAGCCCGUCCCCCAGCCUGCCUGUGGGCCCCACUGCCCAUGGAGCCCUGCCACCGGCCCCUUUCCCGGUGGUGUCCCAGCCCUCCUUCUACAGCGGGCCUCUGGGCCCCACUUACCCGGCAGCCCAGCCUGGACCCAGGGGUGCCGUGGGUUACUCCUGGUCCCCACAGAGGAGCACGCCACCCCGGUCGGGCUAUCCUGGGACCCCGACUGGCACCUCUGGGCCUGGUUACCCCUUGGCGGGAGGCAGGGCCCCCAGUCCUGGUUAUCCUCAACAGUCUCCAUAUCCUGCAACAGGAGGAAAGCCUCCCUACCCAAUACAGCCCCAGCUCCGCAGCUUCCCAGGCCAGCCCCAGCCCUCAUUGCCCCCGCAGCCCCCUUAUCCCCCCGGGCCCGCCCCUCCCUAUGGGUUUCCACCGCCCCCGGGGCCUGCCUGGCCUGGGUAUUAGCCGUACUCCUGGCCCUCGGCCCCUCCCGAGUCCCACCCACGCUCAACCUUUGGCCCAGCCAUCGCCGAGAUUCGAGGGUCAACUGGAGGUGGCGUUGGUGCUCCCUGUGGACUUGCGUUGGCACCCAGAGGCCUUGGAGGGACAAGGCACUGGGCAGUGUGACUGGUCACGGCACUUGCUGGCCCUCUGGCCGGAGUCCUCCUAGAAGCCCCUACUUUCAGUGCCUGGCUGUAGUGGUGCUAGCCAGGCUGGGGUCCGGCACCUCUCGCCGGUGUCUGUGUGAGUGAGCGUGUGCGCACAUUUAUGAGCAUCUACUUGCGGCUGCGCUCAGGGCCAUCUGAACCCAGUGCAGAGUUAUCUCGAGGAGGAGGCCCCGGGUCUCCGGCCCCUCCGGCUCCCCUGGGGUUUGGCAUAUUUGACGUGGAGCCCCAUGCCAAGGGAUGCAGCUGUUGGUGUCUGUCCAGUCCAUUCAAGGCUAGCCUGCCCACGCACUGUGGCAGGGGUUGGAUUGGAGGGAGAGAACAGAGUUGGGAAAAACAACAGGUUUGAGUCCUAUAAAGCCAUAAUUUAACUCCAGUACCUGAUGUCAGACAAGCUUGUCCUGUGUCCUGUUUGAGUGGCGGCAGCGCCAGUGCAGCAAGAAGGCUGGGGGUCGUGAAGACUGUCCCCAGACCUUGCUUGCACUAUUUGGAGAACCCAGGGGGCUGCCUUGGGCCCUCUGGCCAGAGGGAAGGGAGCAGCUCUAGCCCUGGAGAUUGUGGUCACAUUGGGGCUCGUUUAGGAGUGGAGGGCCAGGUCACCUCCCCAGCCACCCUUCUCUCCUCUGGGACCCCCCACUUUAGGGUGACUUUGCCCGAGGCCCACGCAUCCAUCCACUCCUUUAGUGCCUUGAAUCUCAUUCACAAGCAGCCCCCUCCCUUUCCCUCCCCUGCCCCUCACUCCUUUGAUGUAAUCCUCCCACCCCCAGUGUCCAUCCUAAGGCAUCAAAAGAGGCCCUAACGUAACUUCCCAAAUGGUGCUUUUUAAAAAACACCAUCACUACAUAGGGGCAGUUUUUUCGCACCUCCCUGUCUUCAGAAUGUAAAGGGUGGGGAUUAUGGCUCUGUGUAAUAUGCAGCCCCCUGCACUGUGGGGAUUGGGGCAUGUUCAGUAAUCAGAAUGAAGACAAUAGACAAAGGGGUGUGAUGAGUGUUAACUUGGUUGUUCCAGAGGUAAACCAGGUCUCAGGGAAGAGCCUGGAGCUGCUAUUGCUUAGGAAGUUGUACGUGCCUUGAAAUGUCCACUACCUGAGGACCCAGCGUCUGGUGGGCCCGGGGCUGCUGGGGCCAAGGAGAGACCUUGACCUUCUGGUGCCUGCCCCUCCCCGGCCUACGUGCCAUCUGCGUGACGCUCGGUCCGCGGUGCCGGUUCUUUACCAAAUGUGCUUGCUUCUCCUAAGUUAUUUAUAAAGAGAAAUCACUAAUGGACUCUACUGGUUUGAGUGCUUCUGAGCUGGAUGACCGACCGCCUGUAUGUUUGUGUAAUUAAUUGCCAUAAUAAACUUUGAUGAGUCACA
ensembl:lncRNA